GUGAGGUGGGGUAGGUGCUUCGGGGGAGGCGGCGCCCGGGGGCGGGGAGGCCGCGGGGCUCUGCGUCCCCUCAGCGCCCCCCCGCCCCGCAAGGCGGCCCGGGCCUGUCAGCCGGGCCCGGCGCGGGAGCGGCAGGGCCGGCCUGGGGAAGCCCCGGGAGGUCCCUGGGGAGGCGGUGUCAGCCGAGCUGCCUUGCCCGGCCCUGGUGUCAGCAGGUCGUUGUGACAGCUGGGCUGCCUCCGGCUGUCCCCGGGGAAGCCACCUGUGGAGGCUUCGCUUAAAAUGGGCCGGGGACAGGGCGGGCUGGGUGGCACCAGCGGGCUGUGGGCUGGGCGCCUGGGUGGCGCAAGGCAGGGGCGAUCCUCACAAAGUAGGGGUGACCCACCCGUCCUCCAGGAGAGAGCAAAAAUGCCCUAAACAGACAGCACAGCUGGGCGUCCUAAGGACUUUCUAUUGCCAAAACAACAGAUUCUGCAUAAAGAUCUACAGUCACUUUGGAGACAUUUUUAAAUUACCUAUCCCAGUGCUUUUGCACUAUAUGUGCACAUCGUUCACCUGAUUUUACCGAUUGACAGACGGAGGCAUCCAGAUCUGGGGCAGUUUUGUGUUGGUCGAGAGGAAGCCAGCAGCAGGGCUGUAGGCAAGAGCCAUUCGUGGCCAUUCCCCGGUCUGAGUUUCAAGUACGAAAACACCUUCGCCUUCAGGUUUGCCGUGCUAAAAUUAUUUGUAAAACGCAUCAAACGCUGCACUGCUGGUGCUACUUUCUUCAGAUCUUGGUUCCCUGAAGAUGUGUCAUCCAAAUAUAGUCCCGAGCCAAAACUACGGGACUCAGAUCUUCACAAAUGUGAUUAACUUCGCUAGUUUUGGGUCAUUAAGUGCCGUGUCUGAUUCAUUUCUAAGCUGAAUAAUUUUGACAGCUGCCAAUUUGGUACACAUACCAUAGGCUGAGCUGGGGAGCCGCAAAGCUGGAAAGAGGACUGCAGCCCGAGCAGAGGCUCUACCUGGCAGGGCAACACCUCCGCACCCCUGCAGCUCCGGCACGAAGGGGAACCUAAAUACAUAUUAAUUGGGGAACUGGUUGGUCAAAGUAAGAGCAUCCCAAGCAUCUGAGAGCCACGUUCAGUUUUAUCCUGGAUAAACCGUUGCCUACAAAUCAGCGAACACGUCCACGAUCUUUUUAAAGCCAAGAUGAACUUUGAACUGCUCAGUCUUGGCGUCAGGUUAUUAACAAGACUGUUCAUUGUCAUCACCAUUUAUUUAUUAUUUAUAUUUCUGUUCAUUUUGAAGUUUAUUUGGGUGUGACAAGAAGAUUACGGGUUCAGGGUUUUGUCCAGAAUUCUGCCACACAAGUACAAAGUCCAGUAAAUAUAUUCUUAUUUUUAUUACUUCGUCUUACUGUUCUCGUGAUGGGAACAGAAUGAUUUAGUUCUGAAAUAUGGUACUUCAAUGGACUGAGAGGCAAAUUGUCUUCAAUGACUGGCCAAAACCGGGAAGAAGGCAGGAAUGCCACCUCUUCUGAACUAAUUAUGAACCACACAGCUCUUGCUAUUAUCUGUUUACAUGUUAUUGGCCUUGUGAUGUGCUGGUGAGAGAUUUCCUUUCACUGUCUGGUCCAAACGUACGUUAAGUCCAAUUUCAUUAAAAAGGCUGCUCGCUUUCCUUGUUGAAAGGGUCAUUGUGUUAGUUAUUACAGUGUUUUCUUUGUGCUCGCUUUCCCCAAAUUCCAGUAACUAUUUUGUAGAAAAGUUUGAAAGUGAACUUUUGAUGCCUGUGAAAGCUGCUUCAUUGACUUUAUUGACUCCAGAGCCUGAAGUUCUUUAUCCACAGAGAUCUUUAAAAGGACACUAAAAACUUUCAGCCAAAGCUUAUAGAAUUCGGUACUUAUGGUUAAGUAUUAUAGACCCAAUGCUGUUCCCAUGGAGACCUAAAGGAAUUUUUCCAUUGAAUUAAGUGGUAGCAAAGCAUACCCUUUAUUAAGUGGGAAAAGAAGUAGACUGGGGAGCUCAAUUUGUUGUUCCCAGUUUUGUUUGUGUGCUUGCUCUUCUGUAUAAAGAAAUAAAGCGGGCGAAAUUACAGGCAUUUUCAUCGCGAUUCAUCUGCUUCAAGCUUGCUGCGUUUGUAGAUGAGGGGGUGCCUGUGGUUCCAGCGUGAUAACCCACGAGGCAAAGGCAGAGCUCUCCUUUCACUCGCUGCUGGUGCCUUUCCCUGGGAGACCGGAAUGUGAGGAGAGUGUUUCAGCCUCCCACGUCUCCUGCUUGGGAGCGGUCGGUGGUGGUACAGCUGGGCACUGUUAGCAGGCAGCGUUAGCGCCUCCCUGUCACGGGUUGUGUGCCAGCUAUUCCUGAGGGCACUCUUUAAUGUAAAUUUGUUAAAACACUAACCUGUUCGCAGUGAAAUUCCAAUGAUUUACUAAUACACAAAGAAAUCCCAAGCAUACUCACAUUUAGACAGUGUUUUUUCAUCCUGGAAGUUUGGGAUAUUGCUCAAGAGGUCAUCAGAAGCCCCUGGUGAGCCCCGCUCCAGCCAUGGCUUCGAGUGGGGGCUCUGCCUGGGCUCUGCGAUGGCAUAUGACUGGAUCCUGCAGCUCUUGUGUAUGGAGAUCCUCAGUAAUUUAUAGAAAAAGAGAAAAUCGAGGCCUCAAAUUGUACAAUAUGGUGCUGAAAAUGGUUUUUGAUUGAAGCUGUGUCAUGAAAUCCUUGGCUACUGAAGACAACAGAUUUAUGCUUGAUGUAAAUGGAGUGAGGAUUUUGUCUAUAAUGAAGUCCUUUCAUUUUGGCUCACUGAGAUUUCUCUUGUUCUUUCUUAGCGCCUUAUGACACAUUCACUCCAUCCUUGCCUCAAACAAAGGGAAAUUAUACUAUCAUGGUCUCCCUUUAAAUAUUUUCUAUUUGAGGACCUACUGAAAAGACUCCAGAGGCAAAUUCUUGGUUUAGAAGUUGCUAUUUAUGUCUAGACACAUCUGAAUGUCGUUAUGCUUUGAAUGUUCUGGAUUGCUCGCCGUUUUCUUUGUAAAGAUGUAUGAGCCGAGAGAGAG